rnacentral:rRNA from 1 species
CCUACGGGUGGCAGCAGUGGGGAAUAUUGCGCAAUGGGGGGAACCCUGACGCAGCAACGCCGCGUGAAGGAUGAAGGUUUUCGGAUUGUAAACUUCUUUAGUCGGGGACGAACAAGAUGACGGUACCCGAAGAAUAAGCCACGGCUAACUACGUGCCAGCAGCCGCGGUAAUACGUAGGUGGCAAGCGUUGUCCGGAAUUACUGGGUGUAAAGGGCGUGUAGGCGGGAAUGUAAGUCAGAUGUGAAAUUCCGGGGCUCAACCCCGGCGCUGCAUCUGAAACUAUGUUUCUUGAGUGCUGGAGAGGAAAGCGGAAUUCCUAGUGUAGCGGUGAAAUGCGUAGAUAUUAGGAGGAACACCAGUGGCGAAGGCGGCUUUCUGGACAGUAACUGACGCUGAGGCGCGAAAGCGUGGGGAGCAAACAGGAUUAGAUACCCCUGUAGUC